CAGUCGACGCGUUGGCCCAAUUGAUUGAUGGUGCUUGCACCUGAUUGAUUUUGGUUGCCAACGAGUGGCGGACGGGUGAGUAACACGUAGGUAACCUGCCCAGAAGCGGGGGACAACAUUUGGAAACAGAUGCUAAUACCGCAUAACAGCGUUGUUCGCAUGAACAACGCUUAAAAGAUGGCUUCUCGCUAUCACUUCUGGAUGGACCUGCGGUGCAUUAGCUUGUUGGUGGGGUAACGGCCUACCAAGGCGAUGAUGCAUAGCCGAGUUGAGAGACUGAUCGGCCACAAUGGGACUGAGACACGGCCCAUACUCCUACGGGAGGCAGCAGUAGGGAAUCUUCCACAAUGGGCGCAAGCCUGAUGGAGCAACACCGCGUGAGUGAAGAAGGGUUUCGGCUCGUAAAGCUCUGUUGUUAAAGAAGAACACGUAUGAGAGUAACUGUUCAUACGUUGACGGUAUUUAACCAGAAAGUCACGGCUAACUACGUGCCAGCAGCCGCGGUAAUACGUAGGUGGCAAGCGUUAUCCGGAUUUAUUGGGCGUAAAGAGAGUGCAGGCGGUUUUCUAAGUCUGAUGUGAAAGCCUUCGGCUUAACCGGAGAAGUGCAUCGGAAACUGGAUAACUUGAGUGCAGAAGAGGGUAGUGGAACUCCAUGUGUAGCGGUGGAAUGCGUAGAUAUAUGGAAGAACACCAGUGGCGAAGGCGGCUACCUGGUCUGCAACUGACGCUGAGACUCGAAAGCAUGGGUAGCGAACAGGAUUAGAUACCCUGGUAGUCCAUGCCGUAAACGAUGAGUGCUAGGUGUUGGAGGGUUUCCGCCCUUCAGUGCCGGAGCUAACGCA
rnacentral:rRNA from 1 species